AUGUCCAGCUCGUCCAAGAAAUAUCGUGUGUCUGGGCCUGAUCCAAAGCCGGGUUCUAACUACUCCUCUGCCCAGUCUGUGCCAAGUGCCCUCUGUGCCAAAUAAUGGAAUGGUGAAGAACGGCAGCGAAACAGGCCUUUACUCCCAGCAGCUGCGUGUUUUGGGCCAUGAGGUGAAGAGGCUCCAGACAUCCAGUGUCCUUGUCUCAGGCUUGUGGGGCUUGGGUGUGGAAAUUGCUGAGAACAUCAUCCUUGGUGGGGUCAAGGCUGUUACCCUACAUGACCAAGGCACUGCUCAGUGGGCUGAUCUCUCCUUCCAGUUUUACCUGAGGGAAGAAGACAUUGGUAAAAUUCCAGCUGAGGUAUCUCAGCACCAACUUGCUGAACAGCUAUGUUCCUGUGACUGCCUAUAUUGGACCACUCUUGAGGACUUCCUCAGUGGCUUCCAGGUGGUGGUCCUCACCAACAGUUCUCUGGAAGACCAGCUGCAGGUGGGUGAAUUCUGUCAUAGUCGAGGCAUCAGACUAGUGGUGACAGACACAUGAAGCGUAUUUAGGCAACUUUUCUCUGACUUUGGAGAGGAAAUGGUUCUCACAGAUUCCAACAGAGAACAACCAUUCAGUGCUAUGGUUUCUAUGGUCACCAAGGACAAUCCUGUGAACUUACCUACCCAGAUGAGGCCUGGCACAGCUUUAAGAGUGGUGACUUUGUCUCAUUCUCAGAAGUUCAGGGCACGAUCCAACUCAGUGGAUGUCAGUCCAUAGAGAUCAAAGUGAUGAGUCCUUAUACCUUUAGUAUCUGUGACAUUUCUAAGUUCUCUGACUACUAUAUCCAUGGAGGCAUUGUCAGCCAGGUAAAAGCACCUAAAAAGAUUAGCUUUAAAUCCUUGUUGGCUUCCUUGGCAGACCCUGAGUUUAUGAUGAAUGACUUUGCCAAGUAUUCUUGCCCUGCCCAAUUACACAUUGGCUUCUAGGCCCUUCACCAAGUCUGUGCUCAGCAUAGCCGGACAUCUAGACUUGUAAUGAGGCAGAUACAACAGAACUGGUGGCCCUAGCACAGGCUGUGAAUGCUUGAUCCCCACCCACAGUACAGCAGGACAACUUGGAUGAAGACCUCAUCCAGAAGCUAGGUUAUGUUGCUACUGGGGAUCUGGCACCCCUAAAUGCUUUCGUUGGAGGACUUCCUGCUCAGGAAGUCAUAAAGGCCUGUUCUGGAAAGUUUAUGCCCAUCGUGCAGUGGUUGUACUUUGAUGCCUUUGAAUGUCUCCCAGAGGACAAAGAGGCUCUUAAGGAGAACAAGUACCUUUAGUGUCAGAAUAUUUAUGAUGGGCAGAUAGCUGUGUUUGGCUAAGACCUACAAGCUGGGCAAGAAGAAGUACUUCCUGGUGGGUGCAGGGGCCAUUGGCUGUGAAUUGCUCAAGAUUGCUCUUGAUUGGGCUAGGCUGUGGAGAGGGUGGAGAGAUUGUUGUCACAGACAUGGACACCAUUGAGAAAUCAAAUCUGAGCAGUUUCUCUUCUGGCCCUGGGAUGUCAUGAAGUUAAAGUCUGACACAGCCAUAGCAGCUGUGCACCAAAUGAAUCCAUACAUCCAGGUGACUAGUCACCAGAACCCUAUGGGUCCUGACAUAGAGCACAUCUAUGAUGAUGAUUUCUUCCAAAACUUGGAUGGUGUGGUGAAUGCCCCAAUGUAGAUGUCCACGUGUACAUGGACUUCCACUGUGUGUACUGUAGGAAACCAUUGCUGGAGUUGGGCAUAUUGGAGAAAAAGGGCACCGUGCAGGUGGUGAUCCCCUUCCUGACAGAGUCAUACAGCUCCAGCCAGGAUCCACCAGAGAAAUCCAUCCCUAUCUGUACCCUGAAAAAUGUCCCCAAUGCCAUUGAGCAUACUCUGCAGUGGGCCCCAGAUGAGUUUGAAGGCCUUUUCAAGCAGCCAUCAGAAAAUGUCAACCAGUAUGUCACAAAGGCCAAGUUGUAGGGCAAACAUUGUGGUAGAGGCUGUGUGAGCACAGACUUAGAGUGACUGCAUGACCUGGACCUUCCACCACUAGGACACUCAAUAAUAUAACAACAUCUGACAACUGCUGCACAACUUUCCUCCCAACCAGCUCACCAGUUCUGGAGCUCCAUUCCAGUCAGGGCCCAAACGCUGUCCAGGUUCCAGCUCCAGACUAUCCAGCGCAACCCCCAAGUCUGGUAGCAAGAUCCAUGUUUCUGAUGAGGAGUUGCAGAGUGCCAGUGUCUCUGUUGAUGACAUCCAUCUAGAGGAGUUCAAAGCCACAUUGCCGAGCCCAGACAAGUUUCCUGGAUUCAAGAUGUACCCCACUGAAAGGGAUGAGGACAGCAACUUCCAUAUGGAUUUCAUUAUGGCUGCAUCCAACCUUUGAGCCGAAAAUUGUGAUAUUCGCCCCCUGCAGACUGACACAAGUGCAAGUUAAUUGCAGGGAAGAUCAUCCCAGCCGUUGCUACAACCACAGCUGCUGUGGUUGGCCUUGUGUGUCUGGAGCUGUACAAGGUAGUUCUGGGACACCAACAGCUUGAUUCCUGUAAAAAUGGUUUCCUGAACUUGUUCCUGCACAUCUUUGGGUUUUCUGAACCCCUUGCUGCACUUCAUCACCAGUACUAUAACCAAGAGCAGACAUUGUGGGAUCACUUCGAAGUACAAGGGCUGUAGCCUAAUGGUGAGGAGAUGAGCCUCAAACAGCUCCUUGAUUACUUUAAGACAAAGAAAAAUUAGAGAGCACCAUGCUGUCCCAGGGUGUGUCCGUGCUCUAUUCUUUCUUCAUGCCAGCUGCCAAGCUCAAGGAACAGUUGGAUCCACCGAUGACAGAGAUUGUGAGCCAUGUGUCAAAGUAAAAACUGGGCCGCCACGUGUGGGCACUGGUGCUUGAGUUGUGUUGCAAUGAUGAAAGUGGCGAGGAUAUGGAGGUCCCCUAUGUAUGA